CGGCCGCGUCGACGAGGGAAGAACAAGUACCAAGUAACUACUGGCACCUUGACGGUACCUCACCAGAAAGCCACGGCUAACUACGUGCCAGCAGCCGCGGUAAUACGUAGGUGGCAAGCGUUGUCCGGAAUUAUUGGGCGUAAAGCGCGCGCAGGCGGUCCCUUAAGUCUGAUGUGAAAGCCCACGGCUCAACCGUGGAGGGUCAUUGGAAACUGGGGGACUUGAGUGCAGAAGAGGAAAGUGGAAUUCCACGUGUAGCGGUGAAAUGCGUAGAGAUGUGGAGGAACACCAGUGGCGAAGGCGACUUUCUGGUCUGUAACUGACGCUGAGGCGCGAAAGCGUGGGGAGCAAACAGGAUUAGAUACCCUGGUAGUCCACGCCGUAAACGAUGAGUGCUAAGUGUUAGGGGUUUCCGCCCCUUAGUGCUGCAGCUAACGCAUUAAGCACUCCGCCUGGGGAGUACGGCCGCAAGGCUGAAACUCAAAGGAUUGACGGGGCCCGCACAAGCGGUGGAGCAGUGUGGGUCGACGCGGCCG
rnacentral:rRNA from 1 species